GGACGCAGUGCCCAGCACUCAGCCGUGCCCUAGCAGCGGGAACAGUACUGCAGUGAGGGAUUUGUGCUCUGGAGUGUUGUUUCUGCUGCCAGGGCAAGUCUGGGACUUCUACAUGGGCACAGU
rnacentral:pre_miRNA from 13 species